GAGAGUUAAAUAGUACGUGAAAUUGUUGAAAGGGAAACGAUUGAAGUCAGUCAUGCUAGUGAAAAUUCAGUUUGGUGGGUUUUGGGUUCAGGAGUUGAGGCAGGGUCAAACCGUUUCUCUUUUGAACUUGGAAUUUGUCAGAUGCACUUUUUCUUUGGCAGGUCAGCGUCGAUUUCGGAGGUUGUAAAAUACUCGGGGAAAAGUAGCUCUGCUUCGGGAGAGUGUUAUAGACCUUGGGUGAUGCGGCCUGCGGGAUCGAGGAUUGCAGCAAAUGCUUUUGGCUUGUCGCCUGAUCUCUGGACGUCAUCUCGCUUGUAUCAACAUUCUUGGUACUGGUGAGUAAUGGUGCUCAUAGGUUAGAGCGAUCAAAAAUUUUGCUAAGGAUGCUGACGUAAUGGCUUUAAACGA
rnacentral:rRNA from 1 species